GUUUAGCCCUGAUUGCAGCGACAUCCUUUUUGUUUUUCACAAAAAGAUACAGCGGAAAGCAGGAGAUAGC
rnacentral:sRNA from 1 species